UUCAUCCAGCAGUUAGCAUGGCACCAUUCACAUCUGUCAGAAUUGCAAAACUAUAGAAAAAAAUAAUUUGGUGGCAUGAGAUAUUUAUGUGGAAACAUAGUAGCACAUAACUGAAUGAAAAUAAAAGUAGGGCAGGGGGAGGGGUUAAUAAACAAACAAAAAACUUACCCUUCUUUUGUCUUGCAAAUCAUAAUAUUUUCAUACAUACAGUGAUAACAAGGAGUAAAUUAGUUAUUAUAUAAUAAAAUUAAAUUAUUUAAAAGGGUAUAUAGUCAAAGUACAUACCAAACUAUAACUGGGAUACAUAUAUGAAAUCCCUCUCUUAUUCAAACUCAGUAGUUUGUUGUUCAAAAUGCACUGCUAGUAGCCUGUGCUAACUGAUCUAGCCUGUUUUCUUCUUCAAGCCUAUAUUGUAAGUUAGCGGAUGAUUUCAAGCUUGUUAAUCGCUCAUACGUCAUUGGUUCAAUGACACAAGAUGAAAGUGAUUUUACUCUGCUAAUAGCAACAUAAGAAACUCCAGCAGUUCUUUCAGAUUUGCCAAUAUCUAUCCAUGCUUUUGGUAGUGUAAGUCCUUGGCUCUUGUGUAUUGUUAGAGCCCAAGCAAGCCUAAGAGGUAACUGUUGCCUCUCAUGGAAACCUAUUUCUGUCUGUGAUGUGACAGUGAUUGGACAUAUUGGGAUACACAAUGGUCGGCUUUCAUUAAAAACAGGUCCUCUAUAGUUUUCAAAUUCUACUAUUACCGCAAUAGGUAAGUCAGGUGGUUGAUGGUUGUUCUGAUAGAUAAUAUCAACAACUGUUCCAGUGGCCCCAUUGCAGAGGCCAACACUUGACCACAAAUUCAUAGUUAACAUGAC